rnacentral:rRNA from 1 species
AACGAACGCUGGCGGCGUGCCUAACACAUGCAAGUCGAACGAGAAAGGGAUUUCGGUCCUGAGUAAAGUGGCGCACGGGUGAGUAACACGUAGGUAACCUACCUCUAAGUUUGGGAUAACCCGUCGAAGAUGAGCUAAUACUGAAUAAGACCACAGUUUCCUCGGAAGCAGGGUCGAAAGGUAGCCUCUAUUUAUAAGCUAUCACUUAGAGAUGGGCC